AGCGAACGCUGGCGGCGUGCUUAACACAUGCAAGUGGAGCGACGAACCGGGCUUCGGCCCGGGGCAAAGCCGCGAACGGGUGAGUAUCACGUGGGUAACCUGCCCCGAUGACCGGGAUAACCCGAGGAAACUCGGGCUAAUACCGGAUGUGCUCUCCAUCCACCAGGGUGGAGAACAAAGGAAGAUUCGGCCUCCGCCUGGGGAUGGGUCCGCGGCCCAUUAGCUUGUUGGUGAGGUAAAGGCUCACCAAGGCAACGAUGGGUAGCUGGUCUGAGAGGACGAUCAGCCACACUGGGACUGAGACACGGCCCAGACUCCUACGGGAGGCAGCAGUGGGGAAUCUUGCGCAAUGCGCGAAAGCGUGACGCAGCAACGCCGCGUGAGGGAAGAAGGCCUUCGGGUUGUAAACCUCUUUCAGGAGGGACGAAGGUUCAGGCGCGAACAGCGUCCUUGACUGACGGUACCUCCAGAAGAAGCCCCGGUUAACUACGUGCCAGCCGCCGCAGUAAAAC
rnacentral:rRNA from 1 species